rnacentral:misc_RNA from 1 species
AAGUUGGACAGUGUCACCUGUAAUCCCAAUUCAUUUGUUCUUGUUUAGGUGACAAUUGUAGGUAAGCAGUUUUGCUAUACUUUGAUAUAAAUUUCUUUUUGACCCCAAAGUUGUCUAGCUACUUUAUUGCUUAAUUGCUGCCUUUUGUGAUUUUGUAUUUUGCACCUUUGCAAAUAGAAUCUUUAUAUGGAACUCUUAACUCAGCUCAACUAAACUAAACUCAACUAAGCCUUUCCCAAG